GGAAUGACAAAUGUUUCAAGAGAGUUCAUCAGGUCCCGUGCUAGAGCAAACUGGCUCCUAACCAUUGCCCAGCCUUGGUGCAUGUAGGCUGCUGGCACUGAAGUGGGUCACACAGUG
ensembl:snoRNA LOC120099457 small nucleolar RNA SNORA42/SNORA80 family